CCAACCAGUAGCCCUUGGGGCUGCUCUAUGGAGUAGCUUUUGUUUCUCCUGUAAUAAACUUGCAUUCACUUUACUCUGAAUUUGCCUUCAUUCUUGAACAAGAUCCAAGAACCCUCUCUUGGGGUCUGGAUUGGGACCCAUUUCCAGUAACAUCUUCCUGGCAAACCACCAAGGGACAACACUGGAGAAACCCCGACCCAAAAGAAUAGACUGCAGCACUAAUUGGCCAACUUUGCACUACGGAAAUGACAUUAGACAAAAAGCAAAUUUGAGCGAUUUUCGUAUCAAAGUUCGAAAUGGGUCAUAAAGCAGUGGAGACAACUCGCAACAUCCACAAUGCAUUUGGCGCAGGAACUGCUAAUGAACUGACAGUGCAAUGGUGGUUCAAGAAGUUUUGCAAAGGAGACAAGAGCCUUGAAGAUGAGGAGCACGGUGGCCAGCCAUCAGAAGUUGACAACGACCAGUUGAAAGCGAUCGUCAAGGCUGAUCCUCUUACAACUACACGAGAAGUUGCCAAAGAGCUCAACAUCAACCAUUCUGUGGUCAUUCAGCAUUUGAAGCAAAUUGGAAGGGUAAAAAAGCAUGGGCCCAGUUGGAGAAACUGGUUAUUUUACCAAGGCUUUG
rnacentral:lncRNA from 1 species